CAAGCGCCAGCGGCAUUAAAUAGUCAAAUGAUCACAUUUUUUUUUGUCAUUUUUUCGUAAAUCUUCUUUGCAGAAAACGAUGCAGAGCACUGUGCUCCAUUUCUCCACUGGAGCGCAUGACGGGGGUUGCUGAGGUCGUCCUAUUUUUCUCUCUGCAGGUUUACAAGCACAGACACGGGGCCCAGUCUCACCUCCCAGCAGCAUCUCGUGCAGCAGGUUGUCUAUCUUGGCCAGGCCGCAGAGCUUAAUGAACUGGAGCUGUUCUAUCAUUUGCCAGGUGAUGCUCUGGAGGGUGGGCAACAGGAGCAGCAGCUCUCCAAAACGACCCCUGGAGUCGUACUGACGGUCGUUAAUGUAAUCUUCCAGACUCAUCUGGACCUGGAGACACACGUCAAAGUGCGAAAAGCGGAUGAUGCACGGAACCACGACGAGCACCACGAUCCACACCACCGCGCUGACGAAGAGUGCGUGAAUGCGUGAACUUACCUUGUACCAAUGUCCAACCAGCUGCCGUAGUCCUGCACCAGGAAGAAAAAAUGCUGAGGAAAGGAAAUGAAAUAUACCCGCUCAUGCACAUCCACCUACCUAAUGUGAUCCAGCUGAUGAUCUGAUUAAAAAGUGGCAGGCCCUGUUUUUGCUGCAGACUGGAGUGAGUGAAGGAUGGCACGUAUGCACACACUGCCACAUGGAGCAUCUGUUGAGUUUGACAGCAUCAUCAAACUUCUCCAGCUGAAUCAGCAUCCUGGCAUUGAGGAUGAACUCCGUUUGUUUUGACUCAGUGAGUUUUCUGGGAAAA